rnacentral:rRNA from 1 species
ACGAACGCUGGCGGCGUGCUUAACACAUGCAAGUCGAACGGUGAAGGGGUCUGCUUUUGUGGGCCCUGGAUGAGUGGCGAACGGGUGAGUAACAGGGGGUAACCUGCCCCCCUCCUUUGGGUUACCGGCUGGAAGUGGUGGCUAUACGGGGUUUUCUGGGGUUGUCGCAUGAUGGGUCUGGGGAAGGUUGCGGCUUUGGGGGUUUUUUGUGGGGGAUGGGCUCGCGGCCUAUCAGCUUGUUGGUGGGGUGAUGGCCUACCAAGGCGGGGACGGGUAGCCGGCCUGAGAGGGUGGACGGUCACACUGGGACUGAGACACGGCCCAGACUCCUACGGGAGGCAGCAGUGGGGAAUAUUGCACAAUGGGCGCAAGCCUGAUGCAGCGACGCCGCGUGAGGGAUGGAGGCCUUCGGGUUGUAAACCUCUUUCGCCAGUGAAGCAGGCCUGCUCCUUGUGGGUGGGUUGACGGCAGCUGGAGAAGAAGCGCCGGCUAACUACGUG